rnacentral:rRNA from 1 species
GACGAACGCUGGCGGCGUGCUUAACACAUGCAAGUCGAACGGAAAGGCCCUGCUUUUGUGGGGUUCGCGAGUGGCGAACGGGUGAGUAACACGUGAGUAACCUGCCCUUGACUUUGGGAUAACUUCAGGAAACUGGGGCUAAUACCGGAUAGGAGCUCCUGCUGCAUGGUGGGGGUUGGAAAGUUUCGGCGGUUGGGGAUGGACUCGCGGCUUAUCAGCUUGUUGGUGGGGUAGUGGCUUACCAAGGCUUUGACGGAUAGCCGGCCUGAGAGGGUGAUCGGCCACAAUGGGACUGAGAGACGGCCCAGACUGCUACGGGAGGCAGCAGUGGGGAAUAUUGCACAAUGGUCGGAAGCCUGAUGCAGCAACGCCGCGUGCGGGAUGACGGCCUUCGGGGUGUAAACCGCGUUCGCCUGUGACGAAGCGUGAGUGACGGUAAUGGGUAAAGAAGCACCGGCUAACUACGUG